AGCGAACGCUGGCGGCAGGCUUAACACAUGCAAGUCGAGCGGGCACUUUCGGGUGUCAGCGGCGGACGGGUGAGUAACGCGUGGGAACGUGCCCUCUGGUUCGGAAUAACUCAGGGAAACUUGAGCUAAUACCGGAUACGCCCUUUUGGGGAAAGGCUUGCUGCCGGAGGAUCGGCCCGCGUCUGAUUAGCUAGUUGGUGAGGUAACGGCUCACCAAGGCGACGAUCAGUAGCUGGUCUGAGAGGAUGAUCAGCCACACUGGGACUGAGACACGGCCCAGACUCCUACGGGAGGCAGCAGUGGGGAAUAUUGGACAAUGGGCGCAAGCCUGAUCCAGCCAUGCCGCGUGAGGGAUGAAGGCCUUAGGGUUGUAAAGCUCUUUUAUCCGGGACGAUAAUGACGGUACCGGAGGAAUAAGCCCCGGCUAACUUCGUG
rnacentral:rRNA from 1 species